GUGGGAUGGCUGGACGUAGGGACUUAUGAUUUAACCACCGCUUUUCAGGUUCACCAUGUUGUCUACGGCCGGCCGGGUCACCCCGACCAAAUUCCCUAUAUUCAAGUGUGGGUCGAUAUUUUGACUGAAAAACAGGUGGUUAAAGAGUUGCCAGAAUGAGGAAAAUAAAUUGGGACAGAGACAGACAGUCCUCUUGGCUUCGGCCCAGAAGGGCAAAACCCCCCGUUCUCCAAGGUCUGGGUGAGGAGGCACUCCCCAGGGUCAGGCCUCCCCCGUAUACUCCUCCACCCACUGGUCCCACGGUGGCAAAAGACCCUGAUCGGAGCCCUGCCUCCUCCACAGCCGGUUUCCUUUCCUCCGGAAACACCAGUCCAGGGCCCGGCUGCUUUCUCCCCUCCUCGAACUGGGCAGGGGACAGCGUGUGCAGGCACGGAGGGGGAGGGCCGGUGGGGCCCUGCAGGCGUCCCCUGGUCCCGCUCCUGUGUUGCCACUGCGGCAGGCAGGCUGUCUGGACCUGGGUCCAGACAGGCAGCCUUUUGUGGUCUGUGUCCCAUUUUCUACCAGUGGCCGGUACGGUUAGAGGGGCCGGGGUCCUUCUUUCUCCCAGAACCCACAGGGUUAAUCUCUCUUUUGGAGUCCGUGAUUUUUUAUAAUUGUCAGCAGCUACUGCAAACCCUUCUCACUUCAGAAGAGAGAGAGAGAGGGUCAGGGCAGAAGGGAGGAAACUUGUUCUGGGUCCGGAUGGACAGCCUACAUCUGACCAAGACAGAUUAGAGGCUGUGUUUCCCUUCAGGCUACCCGACUGGAACCCCAAUAGUAACGGGAAAGGAGGCUCUCGAUCGGUAUCGCCAGACUCUAUUAAGGGGCAUCCGAGCUGCUGCUCAGAGACCCACAAACCUCUCUAAGGUGACAAAGACAGUCCAGGGGCCUAACCCUAAUGCCCCGGAAAAUCGGAGGGCUGUCAAUGUUGCAUUUGUUUCCCAGUCGACUCCAGAUAUUAGAAAAAUUGCAGAAGUUAGAGGGCUUUGAGGAGAAAUCAAUCUCUGAGUUGGUUGAGGUGGCCCAGAAGGUUUUUAACAAUCGGGAGGACCCGACGGCAGGUUUAAACACCUGGAUGGCGAAGGUCCUCCUGGCCAUAAGCAAGGAAAAAAAGGCCCAAGGGGCCGGAGAGACAAGAAGGGCAAAGAAAAGCCUCGAGGGAGAAAAGAAGUCCAACCCUGGCUUGGGAAAAAUCAGUGUGCAUUUUGCAGAAAGGAAGGACAUUGGAAAAGGGAGUGCCCUGAACGUGCGAGGGAACCGACUCCCAUGUUGGUGAAGGAGGUGGAUUAGGGUUGUCAGGGCUCAGCUGGCCCCUGAGAACCCAGGAUAACCCUGACAGAGGGGGGCCAAAAGGUGGACUUCCUUGUGGAACUCAGCACUCACUCAGGCCCUCUGGUAGGGGAAAGGAACAUUUCAGCUUUCUGAAAACAGCCGCCUUGAACACGGCCACACUCCUCCCUGACGAGACACUGACUACCUUCACUUCCCUCCGCGAGAACUUUGUGGACCAGCCCCUGCAGAAUCCGGAUGAGACCCUCUACACCGACGGGAGCAGCUUCGUAGAGGAAGGUACCCGGUAUGCAGGGGCGGCAGUAGUGACAUGAGGAGGAGCCAGGGGAGAUCUGCAAUCUGCCAGGAUUAGAAAGAAGCCCUGGCACUCCAGCAAGCUGCCACAUCAACCCAGCGGAUUGUGCAAGAGGCUCACCGAAACGCUGACGUCCCGGGGGUGGAUGAUGCGAGCCAGUUUUCCCCUGGUGACUUAGUCUGGGUGAAAAGACACCAGCCCGGAGGGCUCAAGCCACGCUGGGACGGUCCGUAUACUGUAGUCCUCAGCACCCCCUCAGCAGUCAAGGUAGCCAGGAAGAGACAUUAAAUCCAUCGCACCCAAGUGAAGGCAGCGACAGUGGUGACAGCCCCCAGAGGUAGAAAGUAUAACCAACCCAGGACCCACUGAAGGUGAAGCUGGUACCUGCACACCCAGUACUAUCAGCUAGUGGAUACUAGCGACGAAUCCAGGGUCUGAAUUCGUCCUUAAAGACCAGUAGGGAGUGUUAAGUUAAGCCCCCCUUGUACUGGGGAAAUGGAACCAACUGUGGUCGAGGGUAGUCUAGGGUACGGGGCAAGUUUAUAUUAGUAGCUGGAGCAACAGGGCAAAGUUAAUUAAUACCUUAACGGGGCAGUAUUGAUUAAUGUAGCCCUGGUAACUUUGUGUCUGUAUCCCAGGUAACUUUGUGUGUGUUUAGCGAACCGUUUUGUAGUUUCUGUGUAAAAAAGGCUUGCCUAGAACCAGGUUCAACGCUGUCGUAGGAGAGAACGCCUAUGGCAGUCACUGGCUGGUUUCAAUAAAUCCUCGCUUGCUGCUUAAGACC